UACGAAGGGGGCUAGCGUUGUUCGGAAUUACUGGGCGUAAAGCGCGUGUAGGCGGCUAUGCAAGUCGGGCGUGAAAUCCCACGGCUCAACCGUGGAAGUGCACUCGAAACUGCGUAGCUAGAGUCCCGGAGAGGAAGGUGGAAUACUUGGUGUAGAGGUGAAAUUCGUAGAUAUCAAGUGGAACACCGGUGGCGAAGGCGGCCUUCUGGACGGUGACUGACGCUGAGACACGAAAGCGUGGGGAGCAAACAGG
rnacentral:rRNA from 1 species